rnacentral:rRNA from 1 species
UACGUAGGGGGCAAGCGUUGUCCGGAAUCAUUGGGCGUAAAGCGCGUGUAGGCGGCUUGGUAAGUCCGUUCUGAAAGCCCGGGGCUCAACCCCGGGAGGCGGAUGGAUACUGCUGAGCUCGAGUCCGGAAGAGGCGAGUGGAAUUCCUGGUGUAGCGGUGAAAUGCGCAGAUAUCAGGAGGAACACCAAUGGCGAAGGCAGCUCGCUGGGACGGUACUGACGCUGAGACGCGAAGCGUGGGGAGCAAACAGG